rnacentral:piRNA from 1 species
UGCUUCACUAAGAAAGACAAGUCUGGGAA